rnacentral:tRNA from 1 species
AUUCAAUUAGUUUAAAAUAAAAUAUUAAAUUGUGGAUUUAAAGAUAAAAUAUUUAUUGAAUC